rnacentral:rRNA from 1 species
UGGGGAAUAUUGCACAAUGGGCGCAAGCCUGAUGCAGCCAUGCCGCGUGUAUGAAGAAGGCCUUCGGGUUGUAAAGUACUUUCAGCGAGGAGGAAGGCGGUAAGGUUAAUAACCUUAUCGAUUGACGUUACUCGCAGAAGAAGCACCGGCUAACUCCGUGCCAGCAGCCGCGGUAAUACGGAGGGUGCAAGCGUUAAUCGGGAUUACUGGGCGUAAAGCGCACGCAGGCGGUCUGUCAAGUCGGAUGUGAAAUCCCCGGGCUCAACCUGGGAACUGCAUUCGAAACUGGCAGGCUAGAGUCUUGUAGAGGGGGGUAGAAUUCCAGGUGUAGCGGUGAAAUGCGUAGAGAUCUGGAGGAAUACCGGUGGCGAAGGCGGCCCCCUGGACAAAGACUGACGCUCAGGUGCGAAAGCGUGGGGAGCAAACA